rnacentral:rRNA from 1 species
UACGUAGGGGGGCAAGCGUUGUCCGGAAUCAUUGGGCGUAAAGAGCGUGUAGGCGGCCCGAUAAGUCCGCUGUGAAAGUCCAGGGCUCAACCCUGGGAUGCCGGUGGAUACUGUCGGGCUCGAGUCCGGAAGAGGCGAGUGGAAUCCUGGUGUAGCGGUGAAAUGCGCAGAUAUCAGGAGGAACACCGAUGGCGAAGGCAGCUCGCUGGGACGGUACUGACGCUGAGACGCGAAAGCGUGGGGAGCAAACAGG